UUUGUCCUUUGAGAAAAAGAAAAGGGUUUUGUUCUUAACACUUGUUUUUGAUCGUUUGAAGGUUUUAGUUUGGUUUCUAAGAAUAAAGGGUUUUCUUUUUCAAGGGUUUAGAGAAUCGAUCUACCUAUUUUUUUUUUUUUUUUUGAUAUUUUCUGAUAUGUUUGUAACAAUUCUUUGUACUUCUUUUACUGAGAUUUGACCACAGGAUUAGCAUUGACUUUGUUGUAAUCGAUAUCUAUAAAUAUACAUGUAUCUUUUGAUACUGAGAGCAAACUCUAAUGGCUCCGAAUCCAAGAGUUGUAAAUGCUUUUCCGAGCUAUGAAGCGUCUAGGUAUUGAAGAAGGAAAGGUCAAAAGAGUUUUGAAAAAGCUUUUUAAAUUGUAUGACAAGAAUUGGGAACUCAUUGAAGAAGAGAACUAUAGAGCUUUAGCUGAUGCUAUAUUUGAAGAAGAUGAUACCAUUGAGGAGGAGAAGAAAAAAGGAAGUGAUCAUAAUCCUGAACACCAGGAGGAUGAUAUGGAUGAAGAAACGCUCGUUAAUGAACCUGUUCGGCCCGAUCGUAUUUUUUUUUUUUUUUUGAAUUUAAUGGGAUUUAUUUUAUUAUAUAUAAAUAAAAAGUGACCCAUGAUUUCUCAUAAA